rnacentral:rRNA from 1 species
CUACGUGCCAGCAGCCGCGGUAAUACGGAAGGUCCGGGCGUUAUCCGGAUUUAUUGGGUUUAAAGGGAGCGUAGGCCGGAGAUUAAGUGUGUUGUGAAAUGUAGACGCUCAACGUCUGACUUGCAGCGCAUACUGGUUUCCUUGAGUACGCACAACGUUGGCGGAAUUCGUCGUGUAGCGGUGAAAUGCUUAGAUAUGACGAAGAACUCCGAUUGCGAAGGCAGCUGACGGGAGCGCAACUGACGCUGAAGCUCGAAGGUGCGGGUAUCGAACAGGAUUAGAUACCCUGGUAGUCCGCMCAGUAAACGAUGGAUGCCCGCUGUUGGUACUUGGUAUCAGCGGCUAAGCGAAAGCAUUAAGCAUCCCACCUGGGGAGUACGCCGGCAACGGUGAAACUCAAAGGAAUUGACGGGGGCCCGCACAAGCGGAGGAACAUGUGGUUU